rnacentral:lncRNA from 1 species
CCAGCUAUCAGGUUUGUAUUGGAUAGAGUAAUACCACCUUAUUUACUGGCAAAGGGUCUGAUUUUACAUGUAAGCCUACAAAAUAUCCUUGGUGAUGCUAAAAUUUAUCUUUUUGUUAGGAUUUUCUCAUUGUAACUGAAAAGUCUGAUCCUUGGUCAUAUCUGUUUAGAGAUUAUUGAUGAGAUAUAUGUUGGACAGUUUCGUGCCUGCUGAUGAAACCUAAUUUAAGUAUCUUGAGGUAUUGAACUACCAUUUGAAUGUUAAUAGCAGGACUGAGGCAGUAUGUUCUAUUUCCUUUUUAGAAGUAAAAUAUCCAAGGACUCUGGAUGAAAAACAAUUACAAUCCUUAUCCACAAAUAUUUUUAUAUCAUGGUAAUUCCAACAUCAUCUGUCACCCUCUGGACUGCAGGGCGAGAUAUCGAUCAAAUAUGAACCUGUCUAUCUGCUCAGACCAGGUGAUUAAUCUCUCCUUGCUAUUUUUCUUGAGGUGUGUGCAUCUAUCUGGACAAUUUAAUGAAAAUAUAUUGCUCAUACAAACCAUCACUACAUGUUAGUUCACUUUAACCCUAAUCAGUCAAAAGGUUAUCCCUUUUGCAUUUCAUGGACAUAAAGGUUUGGUGUUGACUGUCGAUCUUUUGUUAACAUGGGACCUUAAUACCGUAGGGAGUGUUUUUUUAUAUGUUUGGCACAACUGUAUAUUCCUCUGUUCCAGAUCCAGAUCCAGCUCUGUUCGUAGUUCAUGCCUGCUAAGACAUGUUCAAUUCCUUCCGAUAUGCUUUUGAAUAUGUUUUCAGUGAUGCCAUAUAGCUAUAAAUACUUUAUUUGCAUAAGGCCAGUAGGAUAUAUGCUUUAAUGCCCUUAAUUAGUUCUGAAAUGUUUAGCAUGGUCUUUGUCAAUCUGCUUUAUCCCAUUCAAAAAAGCCACAUGGUUGACUCUUGUGCUAUGCCUAGGCUAUCUAGAAACUGUUGAUUUCUGUGUGUGUGGAUACUGUUCUCUUUCUACUUGGCUCUGUUCAUAUCUUCAUGAUAUUGUACCUUCUUUUCAUUGUUAGCUUGCUAAAGGAAUGUUAGAUUCUUGUUGCGUGUCCAUUCCAAGGCCUCCCUCGUUAUUCUUAAUGCACACUGUAUUUGUGCCUUCUACCAGCCCCCUCGGUCUAUCUUUCCAAAAACAUCCUCUUGCUGAAGUAAUGUUUCAGAAGCUCGGCCUCCCCAAACCAGUCUACCAUGUGCGGCUGCUUGAGCAGAGAGGAUAUAGAUCACAGGUUGAAUUACCGUACAAAAGAAUGUUUCCAAGCUUCAGCACGCCGGGUUAGACUGUCAAGCCCCAUAUGUGUGGAUGGGAGGACAUCAAUGAAUUCUGCAGCCGAACGAGCCAUUGAAUAUAUGCAAACCAGUGAGAGCAAGGUGUUUGUUGACUAUAACUACUACCAGCUGCAACAGCAGAAACAGGCACACGAAGGAGUAUCAGGAAGGCUGUUAGAAUAAAUAGAAGAAAUCAACCAGCGCAACCAAACUAUCAAACAGAUAACUAGAGAAGCAUCCAACUAUCUGGAAGAAGUGCAUGAUGCAUCAAACAAAAUUCAUGGUCUUGCUGCCAUUGCCUUGGACCAUGUUUCCUCAGUGUCUCUUUUUGAUUUCAGGCAGGCUAUUCUAGAGAUUCAUGAUGCAGUUGUUGCACUUCAAAACACUACAUCUACUGCACGUGUCUCACUAGAGGAAAAAGGCAUGUACUCAGACGAUGAUGUGGCAGAUCCAGUCUACAGUGGCGUUUCUGGUGAUGAAACUGAUGAAUACUAUCAUCAUGAUGACUAUGGUCACUAUGUGCGAUCCCCAUGAGCAUGUUGUCCAGCCUGCUGAGCUAUCUGGUCAACAUGUGAAGCUCUAUAUGCAUAGCUUCACCACGAAGGCUUGCUUCUUCUUAGCAAGAACCAGUCUGGUUACUAUGUUUAGUCUACUGGUUUAUCUAAAUAAAAUGUGAAGCUCUAUGCUUACAGCUUCACUUUAGGAACUGUCUCCUUUUCAGACUACUCUCUGGUCAUGUAUAAAUAUGGGAUCUAUUGUACUAUCUAAAACCAAUGUAAUUUAUAUAUGUUGCAUCUUCUGAAAUUCUUCUGUGUUGCCUUUUGCUAUGCACUUUUCCUUAUUUGCUUUCUUCUUCCAAGUGAUGGUCAACCGACUUUGGCAUAUGUAUCAAUGGCUCUGCCCGAUGAUCAUGGGCUCAUAACUACAACCAUCUAUAUGAUGCGCCAAUACUAUGUAUCAGCUAAAACACUAUGUAUUUUCUAUUUGCUUAUGCUCAUUGUAAAUUUCUUAGCA